rnacentral:rRNA from 1 species
UACGUAGGGGGCAAGCGUUGUCCGGAAUUAUUGGGCGGAAAGCGCGCGCAGGCGGUCAUUUAAGUCUGAUGUAUAAACCCGAGGCUCAACCUUGGGAGGCAUUGGAAACUGGGCGACUGGAGUGUAGGAGAGGAAAGUGGAAUUCCACGUGUAGCGGUGAAAUGCGUAGAGAUGUGGAGGAACACCAGUGGCGAAGGCGACUUUCUGGCCUAUAACUGACGCUGAGGCGCGAAAGCGUGGGGAGCAAACAGG